rnacentral:pre_miRNA from 1 species
GACAUACUCCCUCCGUUUCGAAUUACUUGUCGCAGGUAUGGAUGUAUCUAGAUGUAUUUUAGUUUUAGAUACAUCCAUAUCAGCGACAAGUAAUUUAGAACGGAGGAAGUACUAC